rnacentral:rRNA from 1 species
AGAGUUUGAUUCUGGCUCAGGAUGAACGCUGGCGGCAUGCUUAACACAUGCAAGUUGAACGAAGACUUCGGUCUUAGUAGCGGACGGGUGAGUAACGCGUAAGAAUCUGCCCCUAGGAAAAGGAUAACAACUGGAAACGGUUGCUAAUACUUUAUAUGCUGAGAAGUUAAAUGGGUUACCGCCUAGGGAUGAGCUUGCGUCUGAUUAGCUAGUUGGUGGGGUAAAGGCCUACCAAGGCGACUAUCAGUAGCUGGUCUGAGAGGAUGAUCAGCCACACUGGGACUGAGACACGGCCCAGACUCCUACGGGAGGCAGCAGUGAGGAAUUUUCCGCAAUGGGCGAAAGCCUGACGGAGCAAUGCCGCGUGAAGGAUGAAGGCCUGCGGGUUGUAAACUUCUUUUCUUAGAGAAGAUAAUGACGGUAUCUAAGGAAUAAGCAUUGGCUAACCUUGUGCCAGCAGCCGCGGUAAUACAAGGAAUGCAAGCGUUAUCCGGAAUGAUUGGGCGUAAAGCGUCUGUAGGUGGUUUAGAAAGUCGAUUGUCAAAAACCAAGGCUUAACCUUGGGCCGGCAAUGGAAACUUCUAGACUAGAGUACGGUAGAGGUAGAGGGAAUUACCGGUGUAACGGUGAAAUGUGCAGAUAUCGGUAAGAACACCAACGGCGAAAGCACUCUACUGGGCCGAGACUGACACUCAGAGACGAAAGCUAGGGGAGCGAAUAGGAUUAGAUACCAUAGUAGUCCUAGCUGUAAACGAUGGAAACUAAGUAUUGAGCCUUCGGGAGCAGUACUGUAGCUAACGCGUUAAGUUUCCCGCCUGGGGAGUAUGCUCGCAAGAGUGAAACUCAAAGAAAUUGACGGGGGCCCGCACAAGCGGUGGAGCAUGUGGUUUAAUUCGAUUCAACGCGAAGAACCUUACCGGGGAUUGACAUCCUGCGCAUUUUUUGGAAACGAAAAAGUUCAAACGCAGUGACAGGUGGUGCAUGGCUGUCGUCAGCUCGUGUCGUGAGACGUAGGGUUAAGUCCUGUAACGAGCGCAACCCUUAUUGUUAGUUGCUUUUAGGAAACUAGCAAGACUGCCGGUGAUAAGCCGGAGGAAGGUGAGGAUGACGUCAAGUCAGCAUGCCCCUUAAAUCCCGGGCUACACACGUGCUACAAUGGUCAAGACAAAGAGAUGCUAACUCGUGAGAGUACGCCAACCUCAAAAACUUGAUCUCAGUUCGGAUUGUGGGCUGCAACUCGCCUACAUGAAGCCGGAAUCGCUAGUAAUCGCAGGUCAGCUAUACUGCGGUGAAUACGUUCCCGGGCCUUGUACACACCGCCCGUCACACCAUGGAAGCUGACUAGGCCCGAAAUCGUUGUAAACGCCUAAGGCACAGUUAGUGACUGGGGUGAAGUCGAAACAAGGUA